rnacentral:misc_RNA from 1 species
GUCAAGAAACGAGGCUACGUGCCCCGCCCUGCGGUUUACCCUUGCCUACUGGCACUAUCUGUUGCUUCCUGGCGGCGGUUUGCCUGCCGCCAGGGACAUUGUAAAGCUCCUGCAUAAGCAUUGAAAAACUGAAACAAACCGAAUCGUAC